AAGAGUGUAGUUUAAAGGGAAAAACAAUAGGCUUCAAACUUAUUGAUCUUAGUUCAAUUCUAAGUUCUCUUG
rnacentral:tRNA from 1 species